rnacentral:lncRNA from 1 species
UUUUAAUUAUUGUAUUGUAGCAUGGGGGUAAGGAUCAAAGCGCCCGAGUGGACAAUUCGGAAACCGGACCUGGACUAGGGAGAAAUUUUAGAACAGCCAACAAAUCAAUAAUGUUUGAGGCAGUUAAACAUCUCUAGCCAUUGGUAUUUACAUACUCGCUUGUUGUCAGAUAAGGAGCUGGGGAAAUUGCUUGCCAGGGUUGAGAUCAUAAUCCAGAGUGAAGAAAGUAAAUGAUAGCACGCACCCCGCCGCGGCGGGCUCUAAAAUAAUACUGUACCUUUCCCAAAUGCUGACUCUUGGGUGAGAGUGGGUUGGUGGAGGUCAGCGCACAUUUGUUCUCGGUUUUGCCCCCCUCUGAUCACAAAAUUGUAUAUCCUCCCCCAGCUUCACAACUUGAUCCUUGUUCUAACAGUUGUCACCUGCUUCAAAAUAUUAGGGGCGGGGGUAUAACUCAGAAUCUCACUAAAAAUUAUCUGGACCCAUUUAGCCAGCACCCCUCUUCUUAUUCUGAUGGGGAGGGGGGGGACUGUCUAAUUCCGUGUGUCCUCCCACAUUAUUACAUUAGAUAACUAAAAAGACGGAAGAAACGGCUGUGGGAAAUGAUCCAGUGCCCUGGCUUAUCGGAGGUUAUUAUCUUUAGACAUAGCUUAGAAUUUUGGAAAAGGAAAAAGAAUGUAGUCUUCCGGGGAAAACAAAAAUUUGAGAUAUUCUAGAACAGUGAGUCUCACUGGGGAUUACUAGAAGAUCCACCGGAGUUGUUUACGUAUAAGUGUAACAUCCUUGAAAUUCACAGAUACAUAAGGUCAGUGUCUCCCCACCCCCAGGCUCCCAGCCCAGGCGAUCUGGCCCUUAAGGAGCUGGUACCUUUGAUGCUACAAUCUUGUUUACAUCUGCAGGGCAGGGAAUUGCUUGCUUUGCUUGGACGCUCCCUCCACCCCCUUCUAAUUUGAAGUAAUCGGAAUCUAAAUACAAUCGCCACGGCCCCACUCUUCCAUUUCUGCUCUGACGAGGGAAAAACCUGAAAUCCAUGUCUUAAGUCAGCUCGGUGGAGCCAUUAGCAUUUCCCACCAGCUGCUCACUUCAGCUGCACUGGCGCUGGGCGAGGCGAAGACCCAAAAGCUCAGCGCGAGGUCUGAGGCGGCCCGGACUGGGGUUAACCAGCCCCUGGCGGACGAGACUCCAGACAGAAGGUGGGGUGAGGGGAACAUGAGCUUCCAGGACCCCCCUCAUCCCAGCCCGGGUUUGCAAACCUCCGAAUCUUGAAAGGGGGAGGGGGUUGCACGCCCUUAUCUGCGCGUCUCUCCAGCGCCUGCCCCUUUUCUCUUUCCCUCGUCUCUCCGCAAGUCUCUGAAUCUUCCUGUCUCUGAUUUUUUCACUCUUUUCCCACUUUUCCAUGAGAUUCCUCAUCUUCGCCACCAGACGAAAGGAGGUCGUUCUGCUAGGAGCGUCUCUUAA